rnacentral:rRNA from 1 species
UAUGAACGCUAGCGGCAGGCUUAACACAUGCAAGUCGAGGGGCAGCACGUCUUCGGAUGGUGGCGACCGGCGCACGGGUGAGUAACGCGUAUGCAAUCUACCUUUUACAGGGGCAUAGCCCGGGGAAACCCGGAUUAAUAUCCUAUAGUACCAUUAUAUAGCAUUAUAUUAUGGUUAAAGUUUCGGCGGUAAAAGAUGAGCAUGCGUCCUAUUAGCUUGAUGGUAAGGUAACGGCUUACCAUGGCUAUGAUAGGUAGGGGUCCUGAGAGGGAGACCCCCCACACUGGUACUGAGACACGGACCAGACUCCUACGGGAGGCAGCAGUGAGGAAUAUUGGACAAUGGGCGGCAAGCCUGAUCCAGCCAUGCCGCGUGCAGGAAGACGGCCCUAUGGGUUGUAAACUGCUUUUAUACGGGAGGAGACACCCCUUCGUGAAGGGACUUGACGGUACCGUAUGAAUAAGGAUCGGCUAACUCCGUGCCAGCAGCCGCGGUAAUACGGAGG